rnacentral:tmRNA from 1 species
GGGGGUGUUCCGGAUUCGACCGCAAUGUGGAAAAUUCGGUUGCGUGCCGAGGACGAUGCUUGGCCUCGUAAAAAAUGUGUCAAACCAUUACAUGGCAAAUCCAAUGUAGUACCCUUCGAGCCACAGCUCGAAGCACUUGCAGCAUAGUUCUGCGACGUCGACAGUCCACUGACACCUGCUGGGUGGUCGGGGCGUUAAAAAGCAGGUAAAACCUCGGAGCGUUUGAUUGUCUAUCGGAGGCUAAAUGGUUGAAGAUAAUCUCGGUCCGAAAGGUGUUUCUUCCUUCACCGGACCAAAACUAAUAAGCAAACUACGCACGUAGACACCGAACGGGAAGUAUUGCGGGACGCGGGUUCAACUCCCGCCACCUCCACCA